rnacentral:rRNA from 1 species
GUGAGGAAUAUUGGUCAAUGGGCGAGAGCCUGAACCAGCCAAGUCGCGUGAAGGAAGAAGGAUCUAUGGUUCGUAAACUUCUUUUGCAGGGGAAUAAAGUGCAGGACGUGUACUGUUUUGUAUGUACCCUGAGAAUAAGGAUCGGCUAACUCCGUGCCAGCAGCCGCGGUAAUACGGAGGAUCCGAGCGUUAUCCGGAUUUAUUGGGUUUAAAGGGUGCGUAGGUGGUUUGAUAAGUCAGCGGUGAAAGUUUGCAGCUUAACUGUAAAAAUGCCGUUGAAACUGUCGGACUUGAGUGUAAAUGAGGUAGGCGGAAUGCGUGGUGUAGCGGUGAAAUGCAUAGAUAUCACGCAGAACUCCGAUUGCGAAGGCAGCUUACUAAGCUACAACUGACACUGAAGCACGAAAGCGUGGGGAUCAAACAGGAUUAGAUACCCGUGUAGUCC